UGGGGGAUAUUGCACAAUGGGCGAAAGCCUGAUGCAGCGACGCCGCGUGGGGGAUGAAGGCCUUCGGGUUGUAAACUUCUUUUGCUCUGAACAAGGCAUGCUAAUGGGUGUGUUGAGUGUAGGGGUUGAUUAGCGCCGGCUAACUACGUGCCAGCAGCCGCGGUAAUACGUAGGGCGCGAGCGUUGUCCGGAAUUAUUGGGCGUAAAGGGCUUGUAGGUGGCUGGUUGCGUCUGUCGUGAAAGCUCAUGGCUUAACUGUGGGUUUGCGGUGGGUACGGGCUGGCUUGAGUGCAGUAGGGGAGGCUGGAAUUCCUGGUGUAGCAGUGGAAUGCGCAGAUAUCAGGAGGAAUACCGGUGGCGAAGGCGGGUCUCUGGGCUGUUACUGACACUGAGGAGCGAAAGCAUGGGGAGCGAACAGG
rnacentral:rRNA from 1 species